rnacentral:rRNA from 1 species
UACGUAGGUGACAAGCGUUUGUCCGGAUUUACUGGGCGUAAAGAGCGCGCAGGCGGUCGUUCAAGUCGAGUGUGAAAGCCCCCGGCUCAACUGGGGAGGGUCAUUCGAUACUGAUCGACUCGAAGGCAGGAGAGGGUAGUGGAAUUCCCGGUGUAGUGGUGAAAUGCGUAGAUAUCGGGAGGAACACCAGUGGCGAAGGCGACUACCUGGCCUGUUCUUGACGCUGAGGCGCGAAAGCUAGGGGAGCAACGGG